AGCCGAGCCGCGCGGCCAGUAGGUGUCCUUGCUCCUCGAACGGCCUUGAGCAGUGCCCAGCGUUGAGGGUGAGGCUCGUGCUCCGGGUCUCGCGGACGGCCGCCUCGGGCGUCGGGUCCCGGAGAUUGGACAGACACCAGAGCCCGAGGACCGCGGAGUGGCCGGGUGGGGCUGGAGGGCGGCGCCGCGCCUUCUGGGGAGACACGGAGGUAUCAGGACCUGGGAUAUGCUCCUGAUUUUAUACAGACUGCCAUGGCUCCAGAUAUAAAAGACCAAAUAAAAAGAGAUCGGUAAGAGGGAGGGACCAAGAUGGCUGACCAGAAGCAGCUGCAGUUGGAGGCUCUCACCAAGAAGAAAGAAAAAGAGACAGCAGCUCCCUAUAUUGUACAGGCUGGCCUCAAGAGAUCUCCCACCUCGGCCACCCAAAUUAUUGGGAUUACAGGCAUGAGUCACAAUGCCUGGACUGUCAUUGAUUUUUGAAUAUUAAACUAAUCUUCAUGACUAGGAUGAAUCUCACUUGGUCAUGGAUUAAGAUCCAAACGUUGUUGAAAAAUGUUCAGAUCCUACAAAACACUGACAUGCCAGUUCCUCAGCUUUGAUGGAGAAACCAGCUUUCUCUUCUUGCAGAGAUACUCUUCAUGAAAAGUGGAGCUCCAAGAAGAAUAGACAUGAGGAAAAUACGUAUUUUUACAAAAGGAAAUGUAUGGUGCAAUUAUAAACUGUAGCAUGAACCCAUAAUUGGAAGUCUACGUCUCACAGUUAUAGUCAAUAAUUCUGGUACAUAUGAAAUAAGUUCUUUCAAAAUGGGAUUCAGGUAUUAUUUAGAAAUGCAUCUACUGAAAAGAAGCAUACCACAAAAAUUUAUGCUGAUUAUGGAUGAGAUCAUGGACAGUUUCAUCCAAAUUAUGAGCUGGAUUUGUCAGAUGUAGAGUCUCAAUCAGGUCACUUGAAAGACCAAAUGAUUUCCUUUUCAUCUGAAGGGUUCAGAGAGGCAGCUUUUGAAAAGGCGCUAUUGAAAUAUUCAAGGUAGCUGUUCUUAGCACAGCUUUGAUUUCUAAAACAACUAGAAGGACUGUAGAACUACAUGAGGGAAGAGAAGAGAAACUGAAGAAUUGUUUGAAAACAUAAAUAUUCUUUACUUAUAGUACCACUCCAUGCUUUGGGAAAAAAAAUUAUUUUAUGAAGUCAAGAAGUAAAUCAGAAGAAAACAGCAGGGAAAGUCAGCACAAACGGGUUUAUCUAAUACUUUCUCAGUGUCCAAUUUGCAAUGCACUGAGUUCCCUGCUUAACUAUGUCUAUACAAUGGGGGCAGGGAGAGGAGUAGGUUAAAAAUAAAUAUGAGUUGCAAGUCUUUCUCCUCAGGCUGCUAAUAUUAAUAUACCUGAAUUUUAUGUUUGUUGUUGUCUUCCUUGUCUCUAUAGUUUUUGCAACUAGUGUAUAUAUGUCUAAACAAUCUAUUGCUUAAAUUUACAUAAUUUUCAACUUUACAUAUGUAGAAUCAUGCUGUUUGUUUCCUUCCAUACCUCAGUUUUUUCACUAAAAAUUGUCUUCUGAAAAAACUUGGAGGUAUCAUAUUUCCUGAUUUAAAAUUAUAUUACAAUGUUAUAGUAAACAAAUCAGUAUAGUACUUACACAAAAACAAACACAGUGUAACAGAAUGGAGUGCAGAUAUAAAUUCAAACAUACACAGUAAGCUAAUUUUUGACAGAGACACCAAGAGGAUACAGUGGGAAAAGGAUAGGAUCUUCAAUAAAUAGUGCUGAGAAAAUUGAAUUUCCACACAUAUGCAAAAUUUAUAAAAUAUAAGGCCUAAAACUAUAAAAUUCCUUAAAGAGAACACAAAAAGCUCCUGGACAUUGGCCUUGGAAAUAAUUUUUUGAAUAUCCCACCAAAAAAUGAAAAAAAAAAAAAAGCUCAGGCUACAAAAGCAAAAAUAAAUAAAUGAGACUACAUUGAACUACAAAGAUUUGUACAGCAAAGUAAAUAACCAACAAAAUAAAAUGACAGCCUAUGGAUUGAGAAAAAUAUUUGCAAACCAUGCAUCUGAUAAGGGGAUAAUAUCCAAAAUUAAUAAAGAACUCAUACAACUCAAUAAUAGGAAAUCAAAUAGCUUGAUUUUAAAAUGGGAAAAGAGCACUUGUCGACACUUCUCCAAAUAAGACAUAAAAGUGGCCAACAGAUAUAUGAAAAGGCACCCAACAUCAUUAAUCGUCAGAAGAAUGCAAAUAAAAACCAUUGAGAUAUCGUCUCACACCCAUUAGGAUGGCUGUUAUCAAAAAAACAAAAGAUAAAUGUUGGUGGAGUUGUGGAGAACAGGGAGCCCUAGUACAUUGUUGGUAGGGUUAUAGAUUGGUACAACCAUUAUGAAAAAUAAUAUUGAGAUGUCUAAAGAAAUUUAAAUGAGAACCAUCAUGAUCUGACCCAGCAAUCCUUCUUCUGAGCAUAGACCCAAAGUAAAUGAAAUAAUCACCUCGUAAAGGCAUCCACACUCCCAUGUUCAUUGCAGUACUAUUCUCAAUAGCCAAGAUGUGAAAAGAGCCUAGGUGUCCGUUAAUGGACAAAUGGAUAAACUGUGAUAUACAUAUACAUAUACAUAUACAUAUAGUUCUCUUACACUGAACGUAUAUUAUUCAAUAUUGAAAAAGAAGAUUCUGCCAUUUGCCACACAUAGUGAACCUGGAGGAUGUUAUACUAAGGGAAAUAAGCCAGAUGCAGAAAGAAAAAUAUUGCGUUAUCUUGCUUAUUUGUGAAAUCUAAAAGAAAAAGUCAAAUAUACAGAGAUAGAGAAUAAAACUGUUUUUAUGGGCAGGGGAUAGAGAGAUGAAGGUCAAAUAUGUGAACUGAAUGAGACUUAAUGUACAUCAUGAAGAAUAUAGGCAAUAAAAUUGCACUGUAUUUGGGAAACCUGCUGAGUAGAUUUUAGUUACUGUUGCCACAGAAACAAAGAAGAAAUACGUACCUAUGUGAGAUUAUGGAUAUGUUAAUUUGCUUCACUAUAUGUAACUAUAUGUAUCCCAUCACAUCGUGUUGGAUACCUUAAAUAUAUGCAAUAAAAAUGUAUAUUAAAAAAUUAUCUUUUGGGAUUUGUUCAUGUUGAGGCACGUAGGAAUAAUUCAUUUUUCAUCACCAAAGAGUAUUCCAUUUUAUGAAUAUGCUACAAUUUACAGCAUAAUUUAUUUUUGCUUUGGAUGAAUAUUGAAAUUUUUAUAGACUUUUAUUUAUUUGUGUGUCUGCUUGGCUCUUACAAACAUGCCUGCCUUGAACAUUCUUGUAUAUCUCCUGGUAUUCAUAUGCAAAAGUUUAUCUAGGUUUAUCUACCUAGAAGUAGAAUUGUUGCGUUAUUGGACAUGGACACCUUUAACUUUAUUUACUGGAUAAUGCCAACUCGUUUUCCAGUACUAAUUUAUACAGUUAUCCUUCAGGAUCUGUGGAGGAUUUGUUCCAGGACUUCCUAUAGAUAUCAAAAUCCACAGAUACUAUAAAGUCCCUUAUGUAGAAAUGGCAUAGGAUUUGCAUAUAACCUGUGCAUAACCUUCCAUAUACUUUAAUCUUUAGGUUACUUAAUAUACCCAACACAAUGUAAAUGUUAUGUAAAUAGUUGUUAUGCUGUAUUGUUUAAGAAAUAAUGAUGAAGAAAAAAGUUGGUACUUGUUCAGUACAAAUGCAAGCACCCUCUUCUUUCCAAAUAUUUUCUAUCCGUGGUUGGUUGAAUCCACGAAUAUACAACCCAUGGAUAUGGAGGGCCAACUGUACUCAUACUUGCCUUCUGUUAUUGCUUGAGAAUCUGUCCAACACUUGUUACUGAUCCAACUUUGUAAUUAUUGCUGGUGUGAUUGGUACAAGUAGUAUUUUAUGUUAUUUUAAUUUGCAUUCCCCAUAGGUUUGUUGCCAGUCCCACUGUCUUUCUGGAAAAUACCCAUUUGUGUCUUUUGCCCAUUUUUUCUAUUAGGUUGUCUGUCUUUUUUUCAGUGAUUUUGAGUUUUAAAAAUUAUCUUUUGAGUUCCAUAUAUUUUGGAGACUAAUCCUUUGCUAGGUAUAUAUGUCACAAAUUGGGGUUUAUUGAUGAAUAGAAUUAUUCAUUUUAAUGUAGUUCAAUGUAUUAACCUUUUUCUUUAUGAUUUGUUUUAGAUGUCUUGUUAAAGAAAUUCCUACUUAUUAUGAGGUAAUUUAUUCUCCUCUAUUUCCUUCUAAAAGUUUUAAAGUUUUGCCUUUCACAUUUAAGUCCUUUGUCCAACCUGAAACUCGAUAAUGCAUUUCCAAUUAAUUUUUAAAAUUUUCUCCAUAAUUGCCUUACAUAUUGAGAUAAUUGUAUGUUUUCUUUCUUCAUAGUUUGUUAAGGUAGUAUUAGAUUAAUAAACUUGAGAACGUUUAAUCAACCUGCAUUCCUGAAACAAAUUCAA